rnacentral:rRNA from 1 species
UACGGGGGGGGCAAGCGUUGUUCGGAAUUACUGGGCGUAAAGGGCUCGUAGGCGGCCAACUAAGUCAGACGUGAAAUCCCUCGGCUUAACCGGGGAACUGCGUCUGAUACUGGAUGGCUUGAGAUUGGGAGAGGGAUGCGGAAUUCCAGGUGUAGCGGUGAAAUGCGUAGAUAUUGGGAGGAACACCAGUGGCGAAGGCGGCUCACUGGACCGGAACUGACGCUGAGGCGCGAAAGCGUGGGUAGCGAACAGG